rnacentral:rRNA from 1 species
CCUACGGGAGGCAGCAGUGAGGAAUAUUGGUCAAUGGGCGCGAGCCUGAACCAGCCAAGUCGCGUGAGGGAAGACGGUCCUAUGGAGUGUAAACCUCUUUUGUCGGGGAGCAAAAGACGCCCCGCUUGGCGUUCCAAGAGUACCCGAAGAAAAAGCAUCGGCUACCUCCGUGCCAGCGGCCGCGGUAAUACGGGGGAUGUGAGCGUUAUCCGGAUUUAUUGGGUUUAAAGGGUGAUCAGGCGGAAGAUCAAGUCAGCGGUAAAAUUGAGAGGCUCAACCUCUUCGAGCCGUUGAAACUGGUUGUCUUGAGUGAGUGAGAAGUAUGCGGAAUGCGUGGUGUAGCGGUGAAAUGCAUAGAUAUCACGCAGAACUCCGAUUGCGAAGGCAGCAUACCGGCGCUCAACUGACGCUCAUGCACGAAAGUGUGGGUAUCGAACAGGAUUAGAUACCCUAGUAGUC